rnacentral:lncRNA from 1 species
AUAACACGCAGUGCCUGCUCAGCACAUUUCAUCACCAUCCAUUCCGUUUGCUGCUGCCUCCUGAGGCAGUUCAGCCGUCUGGGAGAUCUUUCUGCUUUUUCUGCAACUUCUCCUGGUUUCCCUCUGCUUUGGGACGCACCGAGCCCUUUAGGGGCUGCCUUCCGAGCUCGGGGCUGUGCAGCCCGCGCCCAGCUUCGCGCUGAUGGCCGCUCGCGCGCGUGCCUGCGUGGAGCAGAGCACCUGGCGGCCCGCGGUGCACGCGGCGCCCGCCCUCAGCGCUUGUCCCGCCCUGCCCGCCCCCAGCGAGCGCCCUCAUGGGCGGCCGGUCCGAGGCAGCCCCCGCCGGGGCGCUGCCGGGUUCCGUAUCUCCCCGUCUGUGCGUGUUUUCGGUCAAACCUGAGCAGAGAGGUUCCGCACCCCGGCCGCUGGCACGGGCUGAGUAGCGGAGUGCUCUCGCAGGUGCUGCUCGUUUCUCCAAGGCAGAGCGGCUGGAGCCUUCUGGAAGGUGAAGGCAGCGAAUUUCUGUAUGAAUAGUCACCAGUCUUGAAGAGAAAAGAAGAGAAGGCUGUGUGUGCUUGCACUUCAAAGAAAAGCAAAAUGCUCACCCUUCCGCCAGUACCCCCGAAGGAGGAUGAGCCUAUAGUUGAAGGUAAGUCUUCAUCACUUCUUUGAGAAAGAACAAGGAAGACAGA